CCGGUUGGCUGCUGCCUGGGGGGGGCCAGCAGCGAGCACUGAGCACAGUGUCCCCUGCCCGGGGCAGCUUCCUGCCACCCAGCCAGGCAGCAGGCACUGGAGCCCCUUCCCCGGGGCCUGGGCACCAUCUAAAGAGACCUCCAUGCACUGAGUGAGUCCUCACAGCCCACACGUGGGUGUUCAAGGCCAGGCUGGAGGAGCCCUUGAGCAGCUGAGGGUAGUGGAGUCCCCAGCGUGGGAGCUGCAGGCAUUGGCUGUGCCCUGGUCCGUGGUUGGAGUUGGCUCACAAAGCUGAAUGAUGGUGAUAAAGCAGAGGCAGGUGGGGUCUUUGCUCCUCUGGGCCAGGCAGGGGCUGACCUUUCUGCCACCUCCAUUGUGUGCUGUGGUAAUCAGCUCGGGAGCCAGCUCUGGUCCUGGUGGCUGCAAGUGAAGGACUCGGAGCUAAAGCCAGCAGGUGGAGGAGGCACAGCCUGGGACUACUUUGGGCACUUCCUCGCCGAGUGAGGAGGGUGCAUGGAGGAGCUGAAGUGCCUUGAUCCUGCUGGAAGUGCUUGUGAGCUGAUGGUGCUGCCGACCCCAGGGAGCAGCAGA